GCGGGUGUGGCUAAAUUGGCAAAGGCUCCAGGUUUAGGCCCUGGGUACAAGAUAAAAUCUUGAUGUGGGUUCAAGUCCCACCACCCGCA
rnacentral:tRNA from 1 species